rnacentral:rRNA from 1 species
UACGUAGGGGGCUAGCGUUGUCCGGAAUCAUUGGGCGUAAAGAGCGUGUAGGCGGCCCGGUAAGUCCGCUGUGAAAGUCGGGGGCUCAACCCUCGGAUGCCGGUGGAUACUGUCGGGCUCGAGUACGGAAGAGGCGAGUGGAAUUCCUGGUGUAGCGGUGAAAUGCGCAGAUAUCAGGAAGAACACCCGUGGCUAAGGCGGCUCUCUAGUACGGUACUGACGCUGAGACGCGAAAGCGUGGGUAGCAAACAGG